GGUCACUUACCUUUCUUCGUGUCUUGAUAAUCAUUGAGACAUGGGAGUCCUCAAGGUUCGAAGCCUACUAUGCUUGCUAUUUAUCAUGCUAAUCCUCUUGGUUCCUGGCUCUGAUGCCAAGACUUGCAAGGAGGCUAGCGAGAGCUAUACCAAAGAUUGCAGUGAUGAUCCAUGUGUUUCGGCCUGCCACAAGGAGGGAUUUGUUGAUGGGAAGUGUGAGAUGCUCUGGGCAAGACCCGUUAUUCUCAGAUGUUUCUGCAUAUCGAAUUCUUGCUGAAUAAAAACAUGGUGAAACUACCGCAUGAUGUUCGAUGCAAAAAGUAAUAAGAUUCAUUUUAAAAAAUUA